rnacentral:rRNA from 1 species
UUCCUACGGGGGGCAGCAGUGAGGAAUAUUGGUCAAUGGGCUUACGCCUGAACCAGCCAAGUCGCGUGAGGGAAGACUGCCCUAUGGGUUGUAAACCUCUUUUGUCAGGGAGCAACGCCGGCUACGUGUAGCCGGACUGAGAGUACCUGAAGAAAAAGCAUCGGCUAACUCCGUGCCAGCAGCCGCGGUAAUACGGAGGAUGCGAGCGUUAUCCGGAUUUAUUGGGUUUAAAGGGUGCGCAGGCGGACCAUCAAGUCAGCGGUAAAAUCGUGGGGCCCAACCCCAACCCGCCGUUGAAACUGGCG